rnacentral:rRNA from 1 species
GUAGGUGGCAAGCGUUAUCCGGAAUUAUUGGGCGUAAAGCGCGCGUAGGCGGUUUUUAAGUCUGAUGUGAAAGCCCACGGCUCAACCGUGGAGGGUCAUUGGAAACUAGAAAACUUGAGUGCAGAAGAGGAAAGUGGAAUUCCAUGUGUAGCGGUGAAAUGCGCAGAGAUAUGGAGGAACACCAGUGGCGAAGGCGACUUUCUGGUCUGUAACUGACGCUGAUGUGCGAAAGCGUGGGGGAUCAAACAGGAUUAGAUACCCUGGUAGUCCACGCCGUAAACGAUGAGUGCUAAGUGUUAGGGGGUUUCCGCCCCUUAGUGCUGCAGCUAACGCAUUAAGCACUCCGCCUGGGAGUACGACCGCAAGGUUG